rnacentral:rRNA from 1 species
AAUAGAUACCCUGGUAGUCCACGCCCUAAACGAUGAUAACUGGCUAUGAGGAGUAUCGACCCUCUUCGUGGCGAAGCUAACGCGUUAAGUUAUCCGCCUGGAUAGUACGGCCGCAAGGCUAAAACUCAAAGGAAUAGACGGGGACUUGCACAAGCGGUGGAUCAUGCGGCCCAAUUCGAUGAUAAACGAAGAACCUUACCAAGGCUUGACAUACACGAGAACACCCUGGAAACAGGGGACUCUUUGGACACUCGUGAACAGGUGGUGCAUGGUUGUCGUCAGCUCGUGUCGUGAGAUGUUGGGUUAAGUCCCGCAACGAGCGCAACCCUCGUUCUAUGUUGCCAGCACGUAAUGGUGGGAACUCAUGGGAUACUGCCGGGGUCAACUCGGAGGAAGGUGGGGAUGACGUCAAAUCAUCAUGCCCCUUAUGUCUUGGGCUUCACGCAUGCUACAAUGGCCGGUACAAAGGGCUGCAAUACCGUGAGGUGGAGCGAAUCCCAAAAAGCCGGUCCCAGUUCGGA